AAGCGUUCUCAGGGCGGGGUGAAAGUCCCCACCGGCGGUGAUGGCGGCGUGGUGUUCCACCACGACCGCACGAGUGCCGCGAGCGCCUGCGCACCUCGGUGCGCAGGGUCAGCAGACCCGGUGAGACUCCGGGACCGACGGUCACAGUCCGGAUGCAAGAGAGCGCGA
rnacentral:ncRNA from 2 species